rnacentral:rRNA from 1 species
UACAGAGGGGGCAAGCGUUGUUCGGAAUUACUGGGCGUAAAGGGCGCGUAGGCGGCCUGCUAAGUCGAACGUGAAAUCCCUGGGCUCAACCCAGGAACUGCGUCCGAUACUGGUUGGCUUGAAUCCGGGAGAGGGAUGUGGAAUUCCAGGUGUAGCGGUGAAAUGCGCAGAUAUCAGGAGGAACACCGGUGGCGAAGGCGGGUCUCUGGGCCGAUACUGACGCUGAGGUGCGAAAGCGUGGGGAGCAAACAGG